rnacentral:rRNA from 1 species
AACGCUAGCUACAGGCUUAACACAUGCAAGUCGAGGGGAAACGACAUCGAAAGCUUGCUUUUGAUGGGCGUCGACCGGCGCACGGGUGAGUAACGCGUAUCCAACCUGCCCACCACUUGGGGAUAACCUUGCGAAAGUAAGACUAAUACCCAAUGAUAUCUCUAGACGACAUCUGAAAGGGAUUAAAGAUUUAUCGGUGAUGGAUGGGGAUGCGUCUGACUAGCUUGUUGGCGGGGUAACGGCCCACCAAGGCAACGAUCAGUAGGGGUUCUGAGAGGAAGGUCCCCCACAUUGGAACUGAGACACGGUCCAAACUCCUACGGGAGGCAGCAGUGAGGAAUAUUGGUCAAUGGGCGAGAGCCUGAACCAGCCAAGUAGCGUGCAGGACGACGGCCCUAUGGGUUGUAAACUGCUUUUAUAAGGGAAUAAAGUGAGUCUCGUGAGACUUUUUGCAUGUACCUUAUGAAUAAGGACCGGCUAAUUCCGUGCCAGCAGCCGCGGUAAUACGGAAGGUCCGGGCGUUAUCCGGAUUUAUUGGGUUUAAAGGGAGCGUAGGCCGGCUUUUAAGCGUGUUGUGAAAUGCCGCGGCUCAACCGUGGCACUGCAGCGCGAACUGGAGGCCUUGAGUGCGCGGGAGGUAGGCGGAAUUCGUGGUGUAGCGGUGAAAUGCUUAGAUAUCACGAAGAACUCCGAUUG